rnacentral:rRNA from 1 species
AGAGUUUGAUCCUGGCUCAGAUUGAACGCUGGCGGCAGGCCUAACACAUGCAAGUCGAGCGGUAACAGAAAGUAGCUUGCUACUUUGCUGACGAGCGGCGGACGGGUGAGUAAUGCUUGGGAACAUGCCUUGAGGUGGGGGACAACAGUUGGAAACGACUGCUAAUACCGCAUAAUGUCUUCGGACCAAAGGGGGCUUCGGCUCUCGCCUUUAGAUUGGCCCAAGUGGGAUUAGCUAGUUGGUGAGGUAAUGGCUCACCAAGGCAACGAUCCCUAGCUGGUUUGAGAGGAUGAUCAGCCACACUGGAACUGAGACACGGUCCAGACUCCUACGGGAGGCAGCAGUGGGGAAUAUUGCACAAUGGGCGAAAGCCUGAUGCAGCCAUGCCGCGUGUGUGAAGAAGGCCUUCGGGUUGUAAAGCACUUUCAGUCAGGAGGAAAGGGUGUGAGUUAAUACCUCACAUCUGUGACGUUACUGACAGAAGAAGCACCGGCUAACUCCGUGCCAGCAGCCGCGGUAAUAC